GGCGCUGUGGCUCAAGUGGUAGAGUGCUAGCCUUGCAUGCCUGAGGCCCUGGGUUCAAAUCCUCAGCACCA
rnacentral:tRNA from 1 species